AAUUAGCCUCUUAAUUGGGGGAUAGUAUGAAUGGUAAUAUUGACCAGAUCCUAAUUUUUAUAUUGUGAAUUUUGAGUAAAGGUGAAAAUUCCUUUAUAAUAAUUUUAGACAAAAAGACCCUAUGAAGCUUACAAUGAAUAUACAACAAAUAAAUUAAGAAUUGUUUCUUUGGGGAAAAGGUUAACGAUUGUAUUUUUAGAGUGUAAGAUCCUGAAAAGAACUACGAAAAAGCUCCCCUAGGGAUAACAGCGCCAUUUUAUUUUAAAGCCCACAUUAAAAAUAAAGA
rnacentral:rRNA from 1 species